rnacentral:rRNA from 1 species
GGAUUAGGCAUGCAAGUCGAACGCUCGAUUUUCUUCGGAUGAUCGAGAGUGGCGAAAGGGUGAGUAAUGCAUAGACAACCUACCUCUGACUUCGGGAUAACUGGGGGAAACUCCAGCUAAUACCGGAUAGGCUCGGAGAGGCUCCUGCCUCGCCGAGUAAAGGUGGCCUCUUAACAAUGCUCCCGGUUGGGGACGGGUCUAUGUCCUAUCAGCUUGAUGGUGAGGUAACGGCUCACCAUGGCAAUGACGGGUAGCCGACCUGAGAGGGUGACCGGCCACACUGGGACUGAGACACUGCCCAGACUCCUACGGGAGGCUGCAGUCGAGAAUCUUCCGCAAUGGGGGAAACCCUGACGGAGCGACGCCGCGUGCGGGAGGAAGGCCUUCGGGUUGUAAACCGCUGUCACAGGUUAAGAAUGGCCCUAGUCUCAAUAGGUCUAGGGUUUGACAAAGGCCUGAGAGGAAGCCACGGCUAACUUCGUGCCAGCAGCCGCGGUAAGACGAAGGUGGCAACCGUUGUUCGGAAUCACUGGGCAUAAAGCGCACGUAGGCGGGAAAGUAAGUCAGGUGUGAAAUCCCUCGGCCCAACCGAGGAACUGCGCUUGAAACUACUUUUCUUGAGGACAGGAGGGGAGCGUGGAAUUCCUGGUGGAGCGGUGAAAUGCGUUGAUAUCAGGGGGAACACCGGCGGCGAAGGCGACGCUCUGGCCUGUUUCUGACGCUGAGGUGCGAAAGCCAGGGGAGCAAACGGGAUUAGAUACCCCGGUAGUCCUGGCCGUAAACGAUGGGCACUAAGUAGAGGGGUUUU